GUUCGGAAUUACUGGGCUUAAAGAGCUCGUAGGUGGUUAAAAAAGUUGAUGGUGAAAUCCCAAGGCUCAACCUUGGAACUGCCAUCAAAACUUUUAGCUAGAGUGUGAUAGAGGUAAGUGGAAUUUCUAGUGUAGAGGUGAAAUUCGUAGAUAUUAGAAAGAACACCAAAUGCGAAGGCAACUUACUGGGUCACUACUGACACUGAGGAGCGAAAGCAUGGGUAGCGAAGAGGAUUAGAUACCCUCGUAGUCCAUGCCGUAAACGAUGUGUGCUAGACGUUGGAAAUAUAUUUUUCAGUGUCGCAGCGAAAGCAUUAAGCACACCGCCUGGGGAGUACGACCGCAAGGUUAAAACUCAAAUGAAUUGACGGGGACCCGCACAAGCAGUGGAGCAUGUGGUUUAAUUCGAAGAUACGCGCAGAACCUUACCAACACUUGACAUGUUCGUCGCGAGACUAAGAGAUUAGUCUUUUCAGUUCGGCUGGACGAAACACAGGUGCUGCAUGGCU
rnacentral:rRNA from 1 species